ACAGAUAGCUCUAAUACUUUGGGAUUUAUUACCGGAAAUGCAUUCACGAGAACUUAUGACCCCACUAUGUAUAGCUACUCCAAAGCGGGCUGGUAUUUUACAAUUGAAAACCCGAUCAAACCAAUUUUGAUACUACGUACAUAAAUGGCUUCAAGGUCAAACCCGUCUUCAAAAUGUCUGUAUGAAGGGUGUGUUUUAAAAUACUCCAUUACACGUUACAAGGAGAGAUAUAUUAAAAUAUGGGAUUCCGAAAUUAUCUACUUUACCUCGAAUCAAAAAAAGAAAAGGGCCGGCAACGAUUUAUUGAAACCAUUCUCCUGAUAGACGAAGCCAGCAAAUACUGCAUUCUUGCCGAUGGAAAAACCCGUUACUACCUUAAGAUUAAUGAUCAGCUCGUCCGCAAGGGUACGGAUGAAAUCUUCAGCAUAGUUUUGAAACAAUUCGAACGUGAGACAAUUGUCGAUACGGACGAAGAUGGAUAUUGCCGCAUGCUUUUGAAAAAAUGCGAACAAGGGACUAUGGAUGUCAAGGAUAGGGAUGCAUUUGUCAACAUAUUUUCGAAUAAAUGCAUACUGUACUGUAGGGAUGAACCUGGAUUUUUUGCCAUUCUUCUUAAAAAAUGCUGUCAGGAACCUCUCGACGAUAAGGAUGCAGAUGCACUGUUUCGCAUCCUGUUGAAAAAUUGCGAACUGGAGGACAAAACGUAUUUACUUCGCAAAAUUGAACAUGAAUGGUUAGCCAUACUUUUAGAGAAAAGUAGACUGGGUACCAUGGAAGACAUAAAAAAUUUGGAAGAACAUGGCAAGCCAAUUCCACUCUUGUCUUUCCCAUCAUUUCCGGCUGGUCUGAAGGCGCAAGAUAAACCAUCACAUACCUCUAUUUUCUGGGAACUUCUGAAAAAAGGGCUUCCUUUAAGUGGAAAAGCGGUGAGUUUGUUCAUCCCAGUUUCCGAUGUCGUGGUGAACGCGGCUGUACAAAUGGGGGCGUUCUUUUUGCAACCGAACGACGUCAUGGUUGCGAUUAAAGAAGUGGAGGGCAAAAUUGAACGGAAAAGAGUGUCUGACUGGAUGGAGUUCAUCAGCAAGGAUGUCAAAACGAUUACAGAAGAAUUUCAGCAACUUGAGAACCCAACAUUAUCCGAGGAGUAUAGGCGAAACACAGUAAUGUCGUGCAAAUUUAAACUGCACGAAAUUUAUAACGCUUUCACAAACAUGAAGAUUUAUUACCUUAACAAGAUGGUCUUCGCCCCCUACUUUGUCCAAUUUGUGAGCUUUUACAUCGACUUCUGUAUUUGUUCUGUACUCAUGGUACCCGAAUUGAAGACCGAGCUGGUUCAAAAACUGGAAAACUUAAAGGAAUAUAUAAUCGAGUAUAGGGAAACCGUCGUGUCGGAGCGGAUUAAAGCAGUUAGGCACACGGGGGAAGACUUGGGCGCAUUGCUUUCGGACGCUAUUAAAGUGGUCGGAACCCUUAGAAUUGCGACUAAAUAUGCAUCAGAGCAAGUGAUUGACAGCACGUAUCAUGGAAAAGAUGGACUCGAAAGUCGGGAAUUUUACGCUCGUAUUGCGGUACACCAUGAAUACUAUGAUAGUGAUGACGAUGGGAAAAAUCUGUACAACAACUACGUUGGCGAAAUAAGAAAAUUGUAUGAUGAAUACUUUACCAAGCAAGUCAAUCGUAUAGAAGAGUUUCUGCUUCACGUACAGCUCAAAUAACCACAUAGCCAACGAAAUCCACACAACGCUGUCAAACCGCCCAACCCGAGCAACCAGCUCAGCUUAAGUGAUGUAUAGCGAUGCACGUAUGUAAGAGAACAUUGUCUUAUAUCUUUUUAAUUGGUUUCGUUUCCAUAAUCUGAUCUUUGGAUUUGUGUAUCUACAUCAGCAUGCUUAAUAAUGCGUAUCUGAGCUAAAAUUCCACCACUAUGUAGGUAGCACAAAUAGGUUGUAAUUGAUAUCUAAAUAAAACUCUUGUUAGAAUUUUAUUGACACCAUGCGAUGUAACUAAUCGUAAGAUUACAGGGAGAUAAUAAAAGCAUGUAUGAAUCAUACAUGAUGUAUGUAUAAUCCAAGUUUUCAUGCAUUUACAGAAGGACUGUGCAAAAAGCAUGUGAACAAUUUAACUAGCUUAGGGGUCAAGGCAUCUAAUCCUUUUUGUGUUAAUAUGGGGCACGUAGGUUACACCUUGGGGUGAGGGUUAAAUGCUCCAAAAAUCGAUUACAAACCUUAUGCACUGCCCCAUACUGAUGACUAACCAAGACAAGAAAAAUAUAUGUAUUUAUGUACAUAUUUAUGCAUAAGUAAAAUUUCAAAAUAUAAGCAAACAUUUAAAAGUGAGAUGUCUAUUUUAACUUAUACAUUUUCGAAAACGUUGACAGGGUCAUCCGUACAGUACGUCAUCAAAACUUUUCGAUGUUAGCAACCACUCACCCAACGUAUACCUUAGGGGAUAUGAAAUUUUAACAUGUGAAAGCUAAAACAACCUAAACCAUCCACCCACUAUAACGAUGACGUAAAAUAUGGACGUUCCCCGAGCUUGUGGACAAUUACAUGGCACUACAAAUGAGGGCAUAAACCAUUUUCAACCCAAAUUAUUUUUUACCAGCUUAGUUUGAGCGAUCAUAGCGCCCUGAAUUUGUGCAAGUGUCGGACCAAUCCGUUUUCAAAAGGGUUGCUCCUUUCAACGAAAAAAUUAACUGGGUUGAACAGGGACUCCACUCCAAUUGUUAGAUCUGCUUGAAAACUGUAACUUAGAUGAGUCAUUCAUUCGUUGAUAAAAAGGUUGCCCAUUCAAUACCAAAAUAAAUAUGGUACGUAUUUUUAAAUUCUUUUGCAUAUGCAAUACGUCCCAAAAGGGUCUAAUUUUAACGCACAGACCAUAAUUGUGUACGCAUUUGUCCAACAAAUAAAAAGAAACGUCUUCAAACAUUUAGUCCCAGUUGACGCUGACCCAGCCCAAGCUUAACACCUCUGAAGAUAAGGACAGAAAAGUUAUAAUUUCCUCAAAGCUACAUAAAUGCACGCUUAAUUCUUCAAAUCACGUAAUUUUUUUGUUUCGAUUCAAACGAAUUUUUAGAAUUUUAACACUAAAAAUUAAGCUAUAAAUUGUCGUAAAAAUUCAAACCUAAAAAUCAAUUUAAAUCACCCUAAACCUGAAAUAUUAGCAAACUUUUACCAUGAAAAAUUGGAAAUUAUUCGUCCUUACUUCCGCUACUUUGUUAUCGUUUGUGACCACGUAUAAAUUAUUGUUCCUGUGCGACUCGGAGGAAAUAAUUGAGGGGACGGGUCAAACUAAUUCGGCCUUUUUGGAAAACGCAAUCCUGUUUUUUGAAUCGUCCAUCGAUGAAUCUUUUCCACAAUGCGAGGACUUUUACAAGUACGCCUGCCAAGGCUGGUUUAAAGAGAGAGUGGCCACCUUAAAAGAGACCAAGGCCAAGGAGGCGACGCGAAUAUUCGAUUGGACCAAGGAGAACCAUCUCUCGAUAAGUGCUCUGUUAGAUUCCAUGCCAAUCUCGAGCCCGGGCGCGGAAGGAAAAUUGAAACAGUUUUACACUUCCUGUACCACAAAUUGGAGAUGGAAAGCUUUACGAAAUUACCUCCAAAAACCAAAUGAUCCUCAGGAAAGGGAUGUCUCAAUUUACGAUUGGCUCUACGACCGCCUCGUGUCACUCACAAUAGAUCACGCUAAGCAAGAAGCCCUCUGCAGUUUACUAACCCACUCCAAAUUUCCACUCCUUUCAGCAAAAUUAGUUCGGGAAAUGGACAUCGAAACUAUUUCCAGUGCUUCCGAAAUUUCGAACCGCGUCCUUCAAACGGUUAAACAAUCGGUCAAAUCAGCCUCCGACUGGAGUCCAACCCCAAUUUCUAUGAAUACCCGGAUCGGAUUCGGUUCCGAUGCCUUGCUCGACCCGAACUAUCUCAACAAUUUGUACUCAUAUCUUCCCCUCGAUUCAAACGAUUUACUCGGAAAUUUGGAAAAAGUCGAUAAAUUUAAUAACUACCUGGAAUCAGUGCCCGCCCUGGGGAACACGAUAACCGCGGCGAAACAAACCCUACACUCAAAAUAACCUGUGUACUGGCGAAUGCGAGCUACUACCCGGUCAAUGAUAUGGUCGUCAUUUCACCCGGGUUCGUGCACAUGCCCCGAUUUCAUCCCGGAUUCUGGGACGUCUUCAAAUAUUCCAAGUUAGGCGUUACCGUGGGACACGAGCUGGGUCACGCGGUAAUAGCGUAGGUCAUGCGGG